UAAAUUAAAAGAUUCUAAAUUUACAAAAGUAAAAUAUCAAUAAACUACGUUCACAGGGCAAACAUAACCACUCUUUGAAAAUUUGACACAGUUUGUAAAAUGAUCAAGGCAUUUAGGAAGAACAGACAAUCACCAACAACUGCAUACUAAAAUUUUAUUUUCGUUCUUUUAAUAUUGUUCCAGAAACUAUAUAAGAUCAUAAUCCAUCUGAAUUAGCAAAAUCCUUAUAAAUCCUAUAUAUUAAUUUUUAAAUUCUAUUCUUCAAAAAACUAAACAAGUUAACAACAUGCCACGAUAAAUGUUCACAAAUAAAUCGGCAUAAAAUGAAAAGCAUCUGGGUUAAAGAUGUAUCAUUCAAUUCAUUUACAAACUCUGUAAUUCAUCCACCCGUCCUAAGUAAUAAAAAAACCAAUUUCAUUCUAUAUAUUGAAAUGGAACACUGGAUUCAACAUAUAAAACCACAAUUCCCAAUUUCCAACACUUGAUUUGUCAUUUUCCUUUCUUGAAUAACCACCAAAUUUAAGAAGCCAAUAGCAAAAAUAGAAUCCGAGCUCAUUAAGUACCUGUUUAUGGCGGAACAAAGGCCUCCGAGGCUCAGGCGAAGAAGACCGAGAGAGCACGGAGAGAAUGGGCUGGGAACUGUCUAGGUUUUGAAUCGUAGGUUCUGGCUAAUACUUUUAGGGCUGGUUUGGUUAUCCUUAAAAUUUAUAAACAUUACUUGUAAUUAAUCUUAGGACAUAACUUAUAAUUGUUUAUAAGAUGUGGAUUCUUCAAAAUGUCUAUUGUUUGGUGCUUUAAAAAACGCAAAG
rnacentral:lncRNA from 1 species